rnacentral:rRNA from 1 species
UACGUAGGGGGCGAGCGUUGUCCGGAUUCACUGGGCGUAAAGAGCUCGUAGGCGGCUGUGGAAGUCGGCUGUGAAAGCCUGGGGCUCAACCCCAGGAGGCCAGUCAAUACUCCACGGCUAGAGGGCGGCAGAGGGAGAUGGAAUUCCCGGUGUAGCGGUGAAAUGCGCAGAUAUCGGGAGGAACACCAGUGGCGAAGGCGGUCUCCUGGGCCGACCCUGACGCUGAGGAGCGAAAGCUGGGGGAGCGAACAGG